UGCAUCUUUUUCUAUUUUUGUUCUGAGCAUAUGAAUCUUUUUUUCUUUUGGAGCACCUGUCUUCACUUGGAAGUCGCAUUUGAAAUUCUGUGUAAGCUAUCACUGUUCAUAUGACAUUCUAGCUUUCUCACUGCAAGAGGAAAACCUUGGAUGAAGUGAUUCGUGGCUGUGAUGGAAUGUGAGCUUGAAGUAAUGUACAGUUAAUUUGGCUUCAGAAAGAAAGCAGCGACAAGAAACAAGGCUAAAACAAGGUCAAUUUUGUUUGUUAAAUAGUGAGCUAUCACAUUUAAACCGUUUCCUUUACAUAAGCCAGUGCAGCUUAAGGCUGUUAAUAGCAAAUGUGCUAUUAUUUUGCUACUCUAAUUUAAGUAGUCGUUUGUGUUACCUGCAUCAUCUGAUCAAUAUUUUCUGAAUUUCAGAGGUGGCUAGGAACUACCCAACGUAAGCUGAUAUGCUGUCACAUUCUAUCAAAACAGUGGCAAACUGGCUGACAGAACUGCUUCUUGAGCGUCAUCUGUGCCUCAAAGAAAAAUAAUACUAGAAACCAUUGAGCCCACCAAUCUAUGUGUAAGCAGCUGCAUUUUUCCCUGAGGUAGCACGAAGAAGGAAGUUCUGUAGCUGUGACCUCAUCAACUAACUUUCUGCAUGGGAGCCGCAGUUGUCCAAAGAAGAUUACAACAAAGCAUUCCAGGGUGAAAGUAAAGCCUUUCUGGUUACCAGAAA
rnacentral:lncRNA from 1 species